rnacentral:tRNA from 1 species
GCGGGUAUGGCCUAAUUGGAUAGGGCGUCUGGCUACGGACCAGAAGAUUUGGGGUUCGAAUCCCUAUACCCGUACCA